CCUGCUUCUUGAAGGGUUACAGUUGCAGCUGCUGUGUCACAUGUAUGUCAGUAGGUGGCAGAGAGGAGAGAAGCUUUGUUUAUGCUCAGUAUUCUGACCUGUGAACAUUCAAAUGAUUAGUAGCUUAACAUU